GCCGUGCGAUUCUCUAAAAUUCAAACAAGAACUCGCAUCUCACUACGAAAUUCUCCAUCACUUCGCAUUCGCAAUAGAAUGACCUUGAUUUGGCAUUCUGUAAACACUAAUCUUAAUUACCCUGCCUCGAGCGAAGUGAAGUGACAACGAAGUUUGUUUAUAAUAUACUAGGGAUAGCCGUAUACGCGCAAAUGUAAAUCGAAGCUUACCGGUUUCAGUUUUUCGUUGUAUUUAUAAGCAUUCUGUAAGAAAAUACUAUGAAUUUAAGCUUUGGUGUCUAAGCCACAUCUAAUAUAUCUAAAAAGAAAAUUAAAAGUCAUAUAUUUAUGAAAUUAAUUGUAAUUUCUGUAUGUACGCUAAGUUCCUUUGCGUGCACUGGCGAAUACCAGAAUUAAAAAACAAAAUUUUAAUUGUUUUCAAAACAAUCUCAAGCAGUCGGAAGUUUUUAUUUUGCUUUUUCUAGAUUUUUUGUUACUUUGUGAGUGAAUUUAACGUUAAAUAAAAAUUAUGAGGUAAGUAAAAGUUAGUUAUGAGGCUAUCAAUGGUUCAUCCAUUUGUUUUUUAAUCUAAAAUUUCAAUAUUUUACCAACAGACUUAACGAGCGUUCUUCUCAUCCGACAUUGGUGCAAAUAGAGGCAUUGAUAGACGUUUUGGAUUAAAAUGUAGCGAAACAAAAGGUUUAAUCGUAUCUCAACAUGUUCAAUAAGAUAACAAGGAUAUUAAAAAAUAUAGGAACUAAAUUAUCUUGUCAGAUAUGAUCCAUUCCCGGAGAGAUAUUUAGGACAUGUUAACAUCUAUUUAUGUAUGAUAAAUCUAUCUACUACGUUUUUAUUGAUAUUUUAUUUUAACAGGGAAUAUCGGUAAUUUAUCUGUAUCUCAAAUUCACCAACAAAAAAAAAAUAUAUUGAAUUAAAUAAAUCAAAUCAUUAACAAUUUAGGUAUUUGCAAUACCUGUUGGAUUGAUGUUGUUGGAAUGUUAUUAUUGAUGCAGAGGUGACUGUAUCUAUGGUAAAGGGUGUGCACACCGGUACAGGGGUGGCAGGAAGUGCCAGAGUAUUGACUAAAUUGACAUUAUGUAGGCUAAAGACUGCAUACUCCGUUUAAAAUCAAUGAACAAAAUUUUGCCAUAACUUACUUUAUUAUAUUUAAGGAACUACAACAGAUUGAAAAUACUAAUCCACAUUAUCAGAAUAUUGUAAGGAGAAUUCAUUGCCAACUCGGAAAAUGUAUCAGUAUUGGAACAAUCCCAAACAUCCUACAGCAUUGCAUCAAGAAUCACCUAUUUUGCAGUCAUCCUCCCCUAACUAAAUGCAAGUGACUUCUACUUAUUGUGAUGCUACUACUAGUAGCUCCAGCCACAGUAGGUCUCAUGUUAGUCAAGAGAUUGGGUUGUUAGCACCUCAACACCUGACCUGCUAUUUCACCACUUUUCAAUGAAAAGCAGAGUGUACUCAAAUUACAACAAAUUACACAGUACCAGGAUAUAUAACUUAAACAACCAUGGGGGAAUAAAUAGUCGACAGUCUGCAAGAAGGAUGAACUGUUGGUGGAAUUAGCAUAUGCAGCUAGGAAUUUUAAACCUGUAUUUCCACAUAUUACUGAUGCAAACAAAUUUCAAAAUUAUUGUAUAUAACUAUUGAAUAAAACUAUAAUAAAACUAUUUUUAUAAAUCAUUAA